GACGAACCGUGCGAACGUUGUUCGGAAUCACUGGGCUUAAAGGGCGCGUAGGCGGCCUUCUAAGUCAGACGUGAAAUCCCCCGGCUUAACCUGGGAACUGCGUCUGAUACUGGGAGGCUUGAGUAUGGGAGAGGGAUGUAGAAUUCCAGGUGUAGCGGUGAAAUGCGUAGAUAUCUGGAGGAAUACCGGUGGCGAAGGCGGCAUCCUGGACCAUUACUGACGCUGAGGCGCGAAAGCUAGGGGAGCGAACAGG
rnacentral:rRNA from 1 species